AGGCCCAAUGUUUCCAAGGUAUAUAUUGAUAAUUCAGACUUCUCCUUUUGCAUUUUUCAUUUAUUUUGUUAUAGUUAUUAAUCAUUAGAAACAAUUUAGAAUUUCGUAUUUUGGGAAUUUGAUUUUCCCAACUAGAGUGAAGUGUUAAAGCAACUAAGCCAUCACUGGGCGGAUAGUUAUGCUAUAUGCCCAUGAAUGGGGAACUAUAUCGCUAUUUCUGAUUUAAAUUUCUAAGUAGAGCAUCCAUUUGUUAAUUGACAUGUGUUUUUACUUUGACCUGUUCAAUAGUUUAUU
rnacentral:misc_RNA from 1 species